AGGAUAAACGCUGGCGGCGUGCCUAACACAUGCAAGUCGAACGCGCUUUCGGGCUUCGGUGCGAGAGCGAGUGGCGGACGGGUGAGUAACACAUGGGUACCUACCUUGGAGUGAGGGAUACCGGCGAGAAAUCGCCGACAAUACCGCAUAGGCUUCUUCACAAGGGAAGCAAAGUGACGCGAGUCACGCUUUGAGAUGGGCCUGUGGCCGAUUAGCUAGUUGGGGGGGUAACGGCUUCCCAAGGCGACGAUCGGUAGCUGGUCUGAGAGGACGAUCAGCCACACUGGGAUUGAGAACGGCCCAGACUCCUACGGGGGGCAGCAGUGAGGAAUUUUCCGCAAUGGAGGCAACUCUGACGGAGCAACGCCGCGUGCAGGAGGAAGGUUUUCGGAUCGUAAACUGCUUUCUCGGGGACGAGCAAGGACGGUACCCGAGGAAGAAGCCCCGGCUAACUACGUGCCAGCAGCCGC
rnacentral:rRNA from 1 species